rnacentral:ncRNA from 1 species
GUGUAAGUAUAGGCGUUUAUACGGCUAGACUGCGAAUGACUCAUUAAAACAGUUAUAGUUUAUUCGGUGGUCUUUACUACAUGGAUAACCGUGGUAAUUCUAUGGCUAAUACAUGCGCACAUGCCUCUUCCCUUGGAAGGGCAGUGUUUAUUAGAUACAGAACCAACCCACCUUCCGGUGGACUCACCUUGACUCGGGGAGAACGAAGGAUCAGACGUCACAGCAUCACUGAAGUAUCCGUAGCGGUGCGACGCGUUAGAUUAACGGACCAACACAGCAAGUGGGUGUGUGAAACAACAGAUGAG